rnacentral:lncRNA from 1 species
GUGGCUGCACACCCUUAUCCCACAUAAGAUUAGAUUUUCACGCAGACAUUGGGCAAGAGUCCCAGGCCUCACAGAUAUUCUUGGGUCAACCAGGAACUCUCCAUUGCUGUCGAGUACGAGGGAAAGUGCCGAGUCAUGGAUUUGUUUCCUUCAGAUUUUGUGUGGUUCUUAUCAUGUUCUUCAGGAAACAUUAGCACACCCAGCUAUUAAUAAUGAUGAUGGAAUGAAAUUUCUGACUAAAUCCGGGGUGGAGGUGAGGGUCACCUGCCUGCCUGGCUAACCUAUACUUCUAUCUAUCCAGGAAGGAAGGGAGCUAUCUGGAGGCAGGCUAAGGAGAUAGGAAUGUCCAACAUGCUGGGAAUCCCUCGACUUCACGCAACAGGGUAACCCAAGCCUCCCGAAGGUCAGGCUUGGGCGGGAGGGGUCAGUGUUGUCAUUGGCACAUUUUCCCAACCAAGUCCAAAAUCCCUUAGUAGGCAAAGAGUUGAGAUAGGGAAACAGUACCUGGGGCCGCACUGAGAGUGAGAUGAUGGUCCUCAUCCCCGCGCAGAUGGGAAUCUUUGUUUAGAUUAACAGAGGACUGUACAUACACCCUCAAAACAGAUUAGAUAUUUUCCCUGGGAACUUGCUGUAAUUCUUACUCCCCUUGCCCCUCUUUUCCAUGAAAGCAUGAGGUUACACUGAUGAACGCUCCUCCCUUCCUGCACUCCUUCUUGGGCCCUUGCCGCUGCUAUGUCCCUUCAAUUGCCCUAACAGUGUUGAUGAGCAGAAAUAGUGUCAGAUCAUGAUGUCAGCAAUAAUGUCAGAUUUCUGUUGGGUGCCUAGGACCUUCCAAGAUUUAUGGCUACCAGUAAAUCACAAGAGAGACUUUCCUCCCAGAAGGUGAAGGACAGCUAUGGUCAUGCCUCUCACUGAGUAGUCUCUUUUAGACAAUUGCCGGCAUUACUGGGUGCAGAAGCUCAUUUGUUUCCCCACAACCUGCGUGGAAAACUUCACUCAAGUGCUGGAAUAUAUGCUAUGCUCCCAUUGCCCAUCAAAUCCAGACCUAACUGACAUAAGGGAAUGUUCAUUUCAACUAUUAUUGGUCCUUUCCCCUUAUAGCAUUCAUCCUUGAGAAGUUUCCACAACAGAAUUAAAUUUCUGACAUUUAAAUCAGGUUAAUGAUUAACUUAAGGAACCCAGAAAAAAUUUCUGUUGCAAUCUGUUAUUGGAAAUAGAGGAGUAACGCACUGCAGCUGACUGGAGCCAUGAACUUGGGCAAGUCCUCAACAUCUACAAGUGCACCGGCA